UACGUAGGGUGCGAGCGUUAAUCGGAAUUACUGGGCGUAAAGCGCACGUAGGCGGGUCGCUAAGUCGGGGGGUGAAAUCCUGGAGCUCAACUCCAGAACUGCCUUCGAAACUGACGAUCUUGAGUUCGGGAGAGGUGAGUGGAACUGCGAGUGUAGAGGUGAAAUUCGUAGAUAUUCGCAAGAACACCAGUGGCGAAGGCGGCUCACUGGCCCGAUAACUGAC
rnacentral:rRNA from 1 species